UGACUAUAUCACAUUUAAACACCAGUUUCCAUAUGAUCCCUGAAGUUAAGCAAUGCCAAGUCUACUCGGUACCUUAGAUUGGUGACCGCUUGGGAAUACUAGGUGCUGUAA